UACGAAGGGGGCUAGCGUUGCUCGGAAUCACUGGGCGUAAAGCGCACGUAGGCGGAUCUUUAAGUCGGGGGUGAAAUCCUGGAGCUCAACUCCAGAACUGCCUUCGAUACUGAGGAGCUCGAGUCCGGGAGAGGUGAGUGGAACUGCGAGUGUAGAGGUGAAAUUCGUAGAUAUUCGCAAGAACACCAGUGGCGAAGGCGGCUCACUGGCCCGGUACUGACGCUGAGGUGCGAAAGCGUGGGGAGCAAACAGG
rnacentral:rRNA from 1 species